UGGAGCUGGAGCAGGGCUACCAAGAUCUGUUCCACUCCAGUGAGAAGGCUCAGCAGGGAAGCGGAGACCCAGAUCCAGACCCAUUCAGCUGGGUAGAUAUUGCAGAGUAUUACUGGGAAGAACCCCAGGUGGUUGGUGGAGAUGGGACCGAGGUCUCUCCACCGGUCCUGCAGGGAAUUGGGAGCCCAGGCUCCAUUCCCCAGCGGCAGGCUGAGUUACAGGG